rnacentral:rRNA from 1 species
CCUACGGGAGGCAGCAGUGAGGAAUAUUGGUCAAUGGACGAGAGUCUGAACCAGCCAAGUAGCGUGAAGGAUGACUGCCCUCUGGGUUGUAAACUUCUUUUAUAAGGGAAUAAAACGCGGCACGUGUGCCUUUUUGCAUGUACUUUAUGAAUAAGGAUCGGCUAACUCCGUGCCAGCAGCCGCGGUAAUACUGAGGAUCCGGGCGUUAUCCGGAUUUAUUGGGUUUAAAGGGAGCGUAGAUGGGGUCUUAAGUCAGUUGUGAAAGUUUGCGGCUCAACCGUGAAAUUGCAAUUGAGACUGGCAGGCUUGAGUACAGUUGGGGCAGGCGGAAUUCGUGGUGUAGCGGUGAAAUGCUUAGAUAUCACGAAGAACCCCGAUUGCGAAGGCAGCUUACUAAACUGCGACUGACAUUGAGGCUCGAAAGUGUGGGUAUCAAACAGGAUUAGAUACCCGAGUAGUC